CACGUAGGGUGCGAGCGUUGUCCGGAAUUAUUGGGCGUAAAGAGCUCGUAGGCGGUGUGUCGCGUCGGCCGUGAAAACCUGCAGCUUAACUGUGGGCUUGCGGUCGAUACGGGCAUCACUGGAGUUCGGCAGGGGAGACUGGAAUUCCUGGUGUAGCGGUGAAAUGCGCAGAUAUCAGGAGGAAUACCCGUGGCGAAGGCGGGUUGCUGGGCUGAUACUGACGCUGAGGCGCGAAAGCCAGGGGAGCGAACGGG
rnacentral:rRNA from 1 species